CACGUAGGGGGCAAGCGUUGUCCGGAUUUAUUGGGCGUAAAGAGCUCGUAGGUGGUCUGUUACGUCUGCUGUGAAAGCCUAGGGCUUAACCCUGGGCCUGCAGUGGAUACGGGCAGACUAGAGGUAGGUAGGGGAGAAUGGAAUUCCCGGUGUAGCGGUGAAAUGCGCAGAUAUCGGGAGGAACACCGGUGGCGAAGGCGGUUCUCUGGGCCUUACCUGACACUGAGGAGCGAAAGCGUGGGGAGCAAACAGG
rnacentral:rRNA from 1 species